UUGCUCCCCCGCUUGGACUCGAACCAAGAACCCUCCGGUUAACAGCCGAAUGCUCUGCCAGUUGAGCUACAGGGGA
rnacentral:tRNA from 1 species